UCAGUUUCUGUGUUGGGGAGGAAGAGGUGGUGGGGGAAACUUAACAGCAGGUGUUACUUCGAGGGCUAGAAAGGUCCCAUUGUCUCCUCUGCAAUAAACUGCCUGGUUUUCACCUGCUGACAAAUCACAAAUUCGCUUACCAUUAAAAUUCUGGGUCAUUACUUCAUUAGUUUAACAAGUCUUUAUUAAAUGCCUACUGAGGGUCAAGCACCGGGCUAGGUAUUGGGGAUAGAGAGAUGAAUAAUAUUUGUUUAACGAGUAUUUAUUGAGUGUCUGUUCUGUGCUAGGUACUAUGUUAGACCCUGGGGAUACCACUCAUUCCGUCUCCUCAAGGGAAUUGCUUGCAGCUAAGUCAAGUAAACAGACACUUGCAUGGGAAGGAUUACCUCUUCACUUGGCCAAGGAGGAGAGAGAGGAGCCUGGAGCCCUGAUGUCUCUGCCAGGAGCCUGAGCUUUUAGAGCUAGUCUUGGGCAAGACCCAGAAGCAAGCAACCAACAUCAAGAGCCCAGUGCCCCUCCCAGCAUGGCCAACUGACUGGUAACCCUGGGCCUGUGCUAAUACAGUGGCCACCAGCAGCAUGUGGCUCUCGAGCACUUGCGCGGAGGAUCUUUGUUUCUGUUUUACAGCUCUGUCCGGGAGCUUGUCUUCACUGCACAGUUGGUACGUAGGGUCACUGGGACUUGAACCCAUCUUGUCUGCCCCAAAGCCAGCCCUUCACCACCACACUGGCCUCUUGUCCUGCUCUCCAAGGAGUGUCUGUGCACUUUCUGAACCCAGACAGGUGAUUGGGUCAUGUCUGCCUGUGCGGAGGGACCUCCCUUCCUGCUCGGCUCCACCUGGGCCCAGCUUUAGAAGCCACCUGUGUUGUUCUACUGAUAACAGUGUUUGCCCUUCCAGAGCCAGGACCAUAAAAAGCAGCUUUCAAAGUCACUGCCGCAGAAAUGUCAACAUGAAGGGGAGGCCAGUCAUGCUUUCUGAGGUGGAAUGUCACCUCUGGACUGCCUCAAAGGCUUUGCCAGAAGGACCUUCAGAGUCCAGGAGCCUGGGGUCUAGACUUGCUUCUACCACAAACAUACUGUGCUACCUUGGGCAGGUUUCCUGCUUUCUCUGGGCCUUGUUCUUGUCCUCAGAGUAAAGAGAGGGCUGGACUUGAAGACCUUAAAGGUCUCUAUCCCUAAAAUGUUUAACCUCCUCCACUCUCGAUCUUGGGGAUAACACCCAGACACAGCCUGUACUGACUGUGAAAUGCUUUAUGUAGCAAUCUUCAAAACAAAACCACCCCAAAACCUGGACCUGGAUUUUUUUUCAAAAUCUCCAACAAUGUCGCCAUUGAAAUGGUAAAGCUACUCAUUAAUAUAUUGUAAAAAGUGAUUUUGUGAUUUUCUCCAUGUAUGAAAAAAUGCUCCCCACCCCUGACACUGGGCCCAGAGCCCCAAAAUAUAAAACCACAGUCAAACCACUAGGAUUCUACAGAGCUCAGGUGUUUGGACAAAUUGCCCUCACUUGAGAACACAGGGCAAUUUUCUCAACUUUUAAAAUGUUUUCUCCCUUCUCCCCCCCUUUUCUGGGGUUUUCGCCCUUGCUUGUAACUUAAACCACAAAUAAAGCUUUAAGCCUC